rnacentral:rRNA from 1 species
UGGGGAAUAUUGCGCAAUGGGGGAAACCCUGACGCAGCGACGCCGUGUGAGGGAAGAAGGCUUUCGGGUCGUAAACCUCUGUCAGGAAGGAAGAACCUCUCAAGGCUGAACAAGCCUUGGGACUGACGGUACUUCCAGAGGAAGCACCGGCUAACUCCGUGCCAGCAGCCGCGGUAAUACGGAGGGUGCAAGCGUUAAUCGGAAUCACUGGGCGUAAAGCGCGCGUAGGCCGUCUUUUAAGUCGGACGUGAAAGCCCUCGGCUCAACCGGGGAACUGCGUUCGAUACUGGGGGACUUGAGUCCUGGAGAGGGUGGCGGAAUUCCGGGUGUAGGAGUGAAAUCCGUAGAUAGCCGGAGGAACACCGGUGGCGAAGGCGGCCACCUGGACAGGUACUGACGCGGAGGCGCGAAAGUGUGGGUAGCAAACA